AUUGAACGCUGGCGGCAGGCCUAACACAUGCAAGUCGAGCGGUAGAGAGGUGCUUGCAUCUCUUGAGAGCGGCGGACGGGUGAGUAAUGCCUAGGAAUCUGCCUAGUGGUGGGGGAUAACGUUCGGAAACGGACGCUAAUACCGCAUACGUCCUACGGGAGAAAGCGGGGGAUCUUCGGACCUCGCGCCAUUAGAUGAGCCUAGGUCGGAUUAGCUAGUUGGUGAGGUAAUGGCUCACCAAGGCGACGAUCCGUAACUGGUCUGAGAGGAUGAUCAGUCACACUGGAACUGAGACACGGUCCAGACUCCUACGGGAGGCAGCAGUGGGGAAUAUUGGACCAAUGGGCGAAAGCCUGAUCCAGCCAUGCCGCGUGUGUGAAGAAGGUCUUCGGAUUGUAAAGCAC
rnacentral:rRNA from 1 species